rnacentral:rRNA from 1 species
CCAGCAACUUGGAGGAAUGUAUAUUGCAUUAACAAUAUAAUGCAAAAUCUAUUUGCUGAUUAAAAUUCUGGGUAGGUUUUGAUUAUGACAUUAUCUAUCCAUGUGUCUUGACCAAAUUACGUGCCAGCAGUCGCGGUAAUACGUAGAAGACUAGUGUUAUUCAUCUUUAUUUGGUUUAAAGGGUACCUAGACGGUAAAUCAAGCCCUAGACGGGACUAAUUUGCUAGAGUUACUUGUGAAGGGGCUUAAAGGUACUAAUGGUGUAGAGAUAAAAUUUUGUAAUACCAUUUUUCGAAAGAAAAGUAAUGGCACAGGUAUAGGCGAAAGCAUCCCCUUAUGUGAUAACUGACGUUGAAGGACGAAGGCUUUGAGUAGCGAACAGGAUUAGAUACCCUGGUAGUCGAAGCAGAGAAUUAUGAGUGUCAUAGAUUAGAGAUUUAAGUUUAUUCUAUAAAUGAAAGUGUAAGCACUCCACCUCAAGAGUAAUUUGGCAACAUUGGAACUGAAAUCAUUAGACCGUUUCUGAAACCAGUAAUGAAGUAUGUUGUUUAAUUUGAUAAUCCGCAAAAAACCUUACCACAACUUGAAUAUUUAUAUUAUUGAUAUAAUUACAAGCGUUGCACGGCUGUCUUCAGUUAAUGUCGUGAGAUUUUGGUUAGAUCCAUUAAAUUAACGCAAGCCCCUACUUUAUUUUAAAAUAAAGUCGUUCCCCACUAUAUUGGAUAUGAUAACAGGGAUUAAGACAAGUC